rnacentral:rRNA from 1 species
GGGUUGUGAGGUUAAGCGACUAAGCGUACACGGUGGAUGCCCUGGCAGUCAGAGGCGAUGAAGGGCGUGCUAAUCUGCGAUAAGCGCCGGUAAGGUGAUAUGAACCGUUAUAACCGGCGAUACCCGAAUGGGGAAACCCAGUGUGAUUCGUCACACUAUCAUUACGUGAAUACAUAGCGUAAUGAAGCGAACCGGGGGAACUGAAACAUCUAAGUACCCCGAGGAAAAGAAAUCAACCGAGAUUCCCCCAGUAGCGGCGAGCGAACGGGGAGGAGCCCAGAGCCUGAAUCAGCAUGUGUGUUAGUGGAAGCGUCUGGAAAGGCGCGCGAUACAGGGUGACAGCCCCGUACACAAAAGCGCAUGUGUUGUGAGCUCGAUGAGUAGGGCGGGACACGUGGUAUCCUGUCUGAAUAUGGGGGGACCAUCCUCCAAGGCUAAAUACUCCUGACUGACCGAUAGUGAACCAGUACCGUGAGGGAAAGGCGAAAAGAACCCCGGCGAGGGGAGUGAAAAAGAACCUGAAACCGUGUACGUACAAGCAGUGGGAGCACCCUUUGGGGUGUGACUGCGUACCUUUUGUAUAAUGGGUCAGCGACUUAUAUUCUGUAGCAAGGUUAACCGAAUAGGGGAGCCGGAGGGAAACCGAGUCUUAAUUGGGCGUUAAGUUGCAGGGUAUAGACCCGAAACCCGGUGAUCUAGCCAUGGGCAGGUUGAAGGUUGGGUAACACUAACUGGAGGACCGAACCGACUAAUGUUGAAAAAUUAGCGGAUGACCUGUGGCUGGGGGUGAAAGGCCAAUCAAACCGGGAGAUAGCUGGUUCUCCCCGAAAGCUAUUUAGGUAGCGCCUCGUGAAUUCAUCUCCGGGGGUAGAGCACUGUUUCGGCUAGGGGGCCAUCCCGGCUUACCAACCCGAUGCAAACUGCGAAUACCGGAGAAUGUUAUCACGGGAGACACACGGCGGGUGCUAACGUCCGUCGUGAAGAGGGAAACAACCCAGACCGCCAGCUAAGGUCCCAAAGUCAUGGUUAAGUGGGAAACGAUGUGGGAAGGCCCAGACAGCCAGGAUGUUGGCUUAGAAGCAGCCAUCAUUUAAAGAAAGCGUAAUAGCUCACUGGUCGAGUCGGCCUGCGCGGAAGAUGUAACGGGGCUAAACCAUGCACCGAAGCUGCGGCAGCGACACUAUGUGUUGUUGGGUAGGGGAGCGUUCUGUAAGCCUGUGAAGGUGUGUCGUGAGGCAUGCUGGAGGUAUCAGAAGUGCGAAUGCUGACAUAAGUAACGAUAAAGCGGGUGAAAAGCCCGCUCGCCGGAAGACCAAGGGUUCCUGUCCAACGUUAAUCGGGGCAGGGUGAGUCGACCCCUAAGGCGAGGCCGAAAGGCGUAGUCGAUGGGAAACGGGUUAAUAUUCCCGUACUUGGUGUUACUGCGAAGGGGGGACGGAGAAGGCUAUGUUGGCCGGGCGACGGUUGUCCCGGUUUAAGCGUGUAGGUGUGUGUUCCAGGUAAAUCCGGUUCACUUUAACACUGAGGCGUGACGACGAGGCACUACGGUGCUGAAGCAACAAAUGCCCUGCUUCCAGGAAAAGCCUCUAAGCAUCAGGUAACAUCAAAUCGUACCCCAAACCGACACAGGUGGUCAGGUAGAGAAUACCAAGGCGCUUGAGAGAACUCGGGUGAAGGAACUAGGCAAAAUGGUGCCGUAACUUCGGGAGAAGGCACGCUGACACGUAGGUGAAGUGAUUUACUCAUGGAGCUGAAGUCAGUCGAAGAUACCAGCUGGCUGCAACUGUUUAUUAAAAACACAGCACUGUGCAAACACGAAAGUGGACGUAUACGGUGUGACGCCUGCCCGGUGCCGGAAGGUUAAUUGAUGGGGUCAGCGCAAGCGAAGCUCCUGAUCGAAGCCCCGGUAAACGGCGGCCGUAACUAUAACGGUCCUAAGGUAGCGAAAUUCCUUGUCGGGUAAGUUCCGACCUGCACGAAUGGCGUAAUGAUGGCCAGGCUGUCUCCACCCGAGACUCAGUGAAAUUGAACUCGCUGUGAAGAUGCAGUGUACCCGCGGCAAGACGGAAAGACCCCGUGAACCUUUACUAUAGCUUGACACUGAACAUUGAGCCUUGAUGUGUAGGAUAGGUGGGAGGCUUUGAAGUGUGGACGCCAGUCUGCAUGGAGCCGACCUUGAAAUACCACCCUUUAAUGUUUGAUGUUCUAACGUGGACCCGUGAUCCGGGUUGCGGACAGUGUCUGGUGGGUAGUUUGACUGGGGCGGUCUCCUCCUAAAGAGUAACGGAGGAGCACGAAGGUUGGCUAAUCCUGGUCGGACAUCAGGAGGUUAGUGCAAUGGCAUAAGCCAGCUUGACUGCGAGCGUGACGGCGCGAGCAGGUGCGAAAGCAGGUCAUAGUGAUCCGGUGGUUCUGAAUGGAAGGGCCAUCGCUCAACGGAUAAAAGGUACUCCGGGGAUAACAGGCUGAUACCGCCCAAGAGUUCAUAUCGACGGCGGUGUUUGGCACCUCGAUGUCGGCUCAUCACAUCCUGGGGCUGAAGUAGGUCCCAAGGGUAUGGCUGUUCGCCAUUUAAAGUGGUACGCGAGCUGGGUUUAGAACGUCGUGAGACAGUUCGGUCCCUAUCUGCCGUGGGCGCUGGAGAACUGAGGGGGGCUGCUCCUAGUACGAGAGGACCGGAGUGGACGCAUCACUGGUGUUCGGGUUGUCAUGCCAAUGGCACUGCCCGGUAGCUAAAUGCGGAAGAGAUAAGUGCUGAAAGCAUCUAAGCACGAAACUUGCCCCGAGAUGAGUUCUCCCUGAGACUUAGAGUCUCCUGAAGGAACGUUGAAGACGACGACGUUGAUAGGCCGGGUGUGUAAGCGCAGCGAUGCGUUGAGCUAACCGGUACUAAUGAACCGUGAGGCUUAACCUUACAACGCCGAAG